AUACGUAGGGGGCGAGCGUUGUCCGGAAUGAUUGGGCGUAAAGGGCGCGUAGGCGGCCCGGUAAGUCUGGAGUGAAAGUCCUGCUUUCAAGGUGGGAAUUGCUUUGGAUACUGCCGCGCUUGAGUGCAGGAGAGGUUAUCGGAAUUCCCGGUGUAGCGGUGAAAUGCGUAGAGAUCGGGAGGAACACCAGUGGCGAAGGCAGCCAACUGGGAUAAUACUGGCGCUCAUGCGCGAAAGUGUGGGGAGCAAACAGGAUUAGAUACCCUGGUAGUCCACGCCCUAAACGAUGUCAACUAGGUGUUGGGUGGGUAAAACCAUUUAGUGCCGUAGCUAACGCGUUAAGUUGAACGCCUGGGGAGUACGGCCGCAAGGUUAAAACUCAAAUGAAUUGACGG
rnacentral:rRNA from 1 species